UUUAAGGGCAAAUAUUGUAAUUUUGUAAAACAUGUGGGGGUAUACCUGUCAUUUGAAAAGUUUAUUAAAUGAGCAUUGAUUACAAUGCUUUGAAAAAAAAAACAUUUUUUUAGAAGGAUGGUAGACUCUACUUUUGCUUUUCCAUGUUUCUCUAUUUUCAUUGGCAACAAUUUUUUAAAAGACACUUUUUUUUGUUUUACCUGUGACGACCCGUCCUUAAUUUUUCAUGUAAUUUCCUUCCCGGUUGUGUAAAAUGACAAUUAUGCCUUUGUUUGGCAUAGUGAAACCUGAUGUGUACAUUGUUAUUUCACCCUUUAAUUUAGUUUUUCUAUUAUCGUAAUUAAAUAGUACUCGUUAUUACGGACGCGUGAGCGCGAACUGGAUCCGAAUCAGAUUUGUAACGAAGAAAUUACGCUUAGUUAAAGUGCGCUAGCAACGGGUAAAAUUGUACACAUGUGUGAUAAUUAUUUAGUGUUGGGAACACUGUUUUUUGAUAAGGUGAGAUAGAUUUUGUGUACUUUAAAAUUGUGCAAAAUCUGAUUCCCUCUCUUUAAAAACUGGUGAUAACUCAUAUAUUUCAUGCAUUUAUAUCAUCCAUUUUCUAGCCUCUUUGUGAUGUUUUUGAGUUAAACUGGUUGCAUGCUACCUUAUUUUGUGUUAGUGUGCAGUUACAUGUACUUUAGGAUCAAUUUGAAGGCAAAAGAAGUGAAAACAUACCAUUUUUGGGGUUGACCCUUAUUCAAACGUGAAAAGAAGUUUACUGGCCUGUUUUGAAGCCCAAAUAAAGAAUCCAAGACGAAUCUGGCUUGUUAGAAGACCAGGAGAAGAAUGGGAAAGGAAUUGGAAUAUCUAACCUGAUUUGGAGGAGCCAAAUAAGGAAAAACGUUCAAAACUUUGGCUUAAUGGUUGGGAUCACCUUGCAAUCAGCUACAGCCCCAUUUAGCCUAUAAAUACUAGGGUUUCAGAUCACUUUUUCACAAGCCCCCUUGGGGGUCGCCCAGAGCUCUCUCUUUUCUCUUUCUUUGGCCUUUCUUCCAGAAACAAAAUCCUUUUUCCCUUUGCCAUCAGCUGCCACCGAGGAAACCAUGCAGCCGCGCUGUUCUUGAAGGAUUUCCACUUUAUAAUUGCUUCAAGGGGGUUUCUUCUAUGAAUUUAAUUUCACUCAUGUUGUUCUUGAUAUUUAUAUAUUCUGUAAUCAUGUUGUGUAAUUAAGUUCAUAGCUGGGGAUUUCGAUGUAGCCUUGCAAAACUAUUCUAUGUUAUUAAGUUAAAGUAUUCAAAUUACCAAUCUGUUUUCUUGUUUCAUUCGCUGAUUUUGUAGUUUAAUUUGUUUGUUUAUCUUAAUGUUUGAUCACCAUUAGGGUUGCUUAUGAAUUAUUUAAUCAAGGUUAUAGUACACAUCAUGAUUAAUCUUGGUAGACAUGUGAAUGCAUGAAGAAACUGCUAUGCAUACAUCCAGCCAUGUGAUUUCUUUGGUUCUUUGAAGUUUUCUUGUUCUUAAUGGAUUCUUAUUUGGUAAUAUAAGUUGAACAUCACAACUAGGUUGCAGAUUAGGAGUACUUGAUCACAACCACAUAUCAAAUGGAUGAUCAUAAAUGAGUAAAACGAACCCUAGUUGUGAUGCGAAAUAUAUAAGCACACAAAUUAAACCCUCUUUUUAUCAAUUGUAGUAAAGUAUGUAAGUAGGGAUUGUUCUAGGCCGGGGAUUAGGAGGGAUUGCUAAAUCACUUGGAAACUGACUUGAAAACGUAAAAACAAAGUUUAAAACACUAACUAGACUCAAAGAAUGCAAAACUAUACUUUAAAACACUAAAGCAAACCAAAAGACUCAAAACAGCCCCUAAAC
rnacentral:lncRNA from 1 species